UCCAGAAAGAUUGAGGAAAGUUCUGGAAAUUAAUUUGGGGCCCGAGGAGCGUGCUGGAGGCCGAGAAUGGGAUUUGGGCGCGAGAUUUGAAGCCUAGGAAGCAAUGCCGGGUGAGCAUUUUCUCGAUGUCUGCUCCAGAAUUAAUUGAGGUUCGACCGGGAAGGCAGUGAUCCUAGAGGAACUUGCGGUUCAGAUUGGAGUUCGUGCCGAGGCAGAGAAGAGGCUUCGAGCCAGAUAUUGCAAGUCCAGGAGCAAGCAGGGAUGGCGUCGGGAGGCUGUUGUGGCAAUUAAAUUUGUUUCCCGAGAUGUGUUGUUGUGUAUUCCCUUGUAAACUUUUAUACGUAUUCAUGUAAUUGAGUGUAAGCGAUAUUGAGCAUUAGAUGUAUUUAAUUGUUAUAAUCAUCAUAGUGUGAUAAAUGAUUGUGAGAUGGUUCUUUGGAUAUGGCUUAGUUGGCCAAGAUGAGUUUCGGACCAAGUAAAGAUCAGCAAGGUACGUUCUCAUAAAUCCCCAAUACUCAGCGAAGUGUUUGUAUGCUAGUUUGUGCCUGGGUCACCUCUGGCUUGCUAUGGGGCGAGCUGAAGAGAGGUGAAGCUCACUCGGGUUUCGGGUCUCAGUCCGCUGUGUCUUCUUGAUUGAGUUAGGACCGAUUCCUGAGUGGAGCGAAGGGAAGGACGAAGCCUAGUUCCCACCUAGGGCGUUUCUCUUGAAACAUAGUCCAACCCUUCAGUUGUGGUUUGAUAGGUGAGUAAUCUGGUCGAUUAUUUACCAGUGGCACCCGUAAGUGGGAGCGGGUCGU